rnacentral:lncRNA from 1 species
CAUCAUAUCCUAUUUCUAUGCAGAGUCGUCAUCACUCUGAUAUGUUUCCUGUUAAUUUCCUUCCAUCUUCUAACAAUUGAAACUUCUCUUCCAGAGAUCCCCAAACACCAAAAAGAAAAGGUCUCUUAAAGCCCUCAUCACAUCCUGUCUUCAGUUCUACGCCCUGGUUGCCUGUGUCUGUACCCCGUUUCAUCUUCACUUCUGGGAACCAGGCUGAUGGAGAAGUCUUCUAGCAGAAGUACUAUGGGUCAUGAUGGCAGAAAGAAGAGCAAACUUGGUGGACCAUGUGCUGGCCCUUGAUGGGUCUACUCAGAUGGGUCACGUAUCUCUGCUCACAAGUAGAUAAUCAGCAAAGGAGAGAUUGAUGACUGGGGACGCAAUGAACUAAAAAGUUAAAUCAGACUUACUGGCAACCAGUGAAAGUAAGGAUAAGCCUUGCUGGCAAUAUUCCCAUCAGAACAUAAAUGAUGCUCAAACCAG